rnacentral:rRNA from 1 species
AUUGAACGCUGGCGGCAGGCCUAACACAUGCAAGUCGAGCGGAUGAAGGGAGCUUGCUCCUGGAUUCAGCGGCGGACGGGUGAGUAAUGCCUAGGAAUCUGCCUGGUAGUGGGGGAUAACGUCCGGAAACGGGCGCUAAUACCGCAUACGUCCUGAGGGGGAAAGUGGGGGAUCUUCGGACCUCACGCUAUCAGAUGAGCCUAGGUCGGAUUAGCUAGUUGGUGGGGUAAAGGCCUACCAAGGCGACGAUCCGUAACUGGUCUGAGAGGAUGAUCAGUCACACUGGAACUGAGACACGGUCCAGACUCCUACGGGAGGCAGCAGUGGGGAAUAUUGGACAAUGGGCGAAAGCCUGAUCCAGCCAUGCCGCGUGUGUGAAGAAGGUCUUCGGAUUGUAAAGCACUUUAAGUUGGGAGGAAGGGCAGUAAGUUAAUACCUUGCUGUUUUGACAUUACCAACAGAAUAAGCACCGGCUAACUUCGUG